rnacentral:rRNA from 1 species
UACGGGGGGAGCAAGCGUUGUUCGGAUUACUGGCGUAAAGGGCGCGUAGGCGGUCAGCACAAGUCAGUUGUGAAAUCUCCGGGCUUAACUCGGAAAGGUCAACUGAUACUGUGCGACUAGAGUGCAGAAGGGGCAACUGGAAUUCUCGGUGUAGCGGUGAAAUGCGUAGAUAUCGAGAGGAACACCUGCGGCGAAGGCGGGUUGCUGGGCUGACACUGACGCUGAUGCGCGAAGCCAGGGGAGCGAACGGG